GUGUCUGUUUGCGAACUGUGCAAGAGAGUUAGUGAUGAAUGUCACUAGUCUCUAAUGGAUACUGACAAUCCUUCCACCUUCACAUUUAACUAUUUGGUUAUAAUAUUUCAGAUGUUUUCCCUGCGUUCACCCUCAGAGAAAAUAAGAAAACCACUAGAUCACAAUCAAAUAAGGUAAUUAAAAUAUUCAGAAAUGUUCAAAAAGUCAACCAUGUCUUCUGCUUUCUUCCGUUGAG